rnacentral:tRNA from 1 species
UCAAACAAACGGGAUUUUAACCACUACCCCUAGCUCCCAAAGCUUGGAUCCUAAUUUAGACUAUUCUUUG